rnacentral:lncRNA from 1 species
UUUAAUAAGUUAUUGCCUUCUGCACAAUCUUGUGCUGUAAACGAGAUAACAUGACAAAUUGUCAAUGCAUACCAGAAAUUGUAAAACCAUGACAAGUUAUAAAGCAACUGAUUUUUCAAACGCAUGUUGUUUCGUAAUGGUACCCUCCCGAAAAUCUUGUUGUAGCAUCUGAUCCCAUAUCGAGCAUAAGCCAUGAAUAUUUAGAUGUCUUCAUCAACACAUGGCGGAAGACUCAGCUUUCUUUACCCACUUCAUUGUCUAAAACAAGUCACAAAAUAAUAAGAGGUGUCGUUCAUGUGAGCAACUACUAUUGCAGCAUCAACAUUGAAGUCUUAUGACCAAUAAAAUCUUCCCCUCAUGAUCACUCUUGCCUUUUGAUACACUUUAUCUACAUUGAAGGCAUAUUCAUACACCCUUUCCUUUUACAAAGC